AUGCGGCCAAAAUUAUGCUGGUUUUC
rnacentral:sRNA from 1 species